GCCGAAGUGCUACUGCCAAAACCUUGUCGAUCUCUCUCUUGUUUUACUUUGUAAAACAAUGCUGUUUGCUCAAUAGCGCUAUUUGUAAAUUGAUCACUUUCGUAGCUUACAGACAGAUUAGUCUUCUCUUUUCAGCAGAAUACAUUUGCUUUACAAACUGUGUUUUCACGCGAAUGUAUUUGAAAUACUUGUUUUACAUGCAUACUGUUCCCUGACCGUAUGCCCGGUGUACAUAGCACAAGAUGCCUUGCGGUGAAACACCGCUUCUGAUUCAUUUUCAAUGGAAGGUAAAAAAGCGAAGAGUCUGAGGACAUUUGGGUGGUGCGUGGUAGCUGGUGAAAAAUAUACAACUUUUCCCAACUUUACACAAAUAACCAGCGGCGACCGCUGUGUGAUGACCAAUCAUAUCGAUUGGUUCCCAUGACGAAUUUGACGCGUUGCGACCCAAGGCUGGAGACUUCCUACAGAUCAUUGUCUAUUUGUGUACUUCUUGUAUGUAUACAGCCUAUUCUACAUUAAAGUUUUUUUUUUUAAAUGAGACUUUCUUCAUCGAUGGAAGUAAAUAGGACCUGAGCCCUAGGACCAUGCCCCAGGACUACCUGACAUGAUGACUCCUUGCUGUCCCCAGUCCACCUGGCCAUGCUGCUGCUCCAGUUUCAACUGUUCUGCCUUACUAUUAUUUGACCAUGCUGGUCAUUUAUGAACAUUUGAACAUCUUGGCCAUGUUCUGUUAUAAUCUCCACCCGGCACAGCCAGAAGAGGACUGGCCACCCCACAUAGCCUGGUUCCUCUCUAGGUUUCUCCCUAGGUUUUGGCCUUUCUAGGGAGUUUUUCCUAGCCACCGUGCUUCUACACCUGCAUUGCUUGCUGUUUGGGGUUUUAGGCUGGGUUUCUGUACAGCACUUUGAGAUAUCAGCUGAUGUAUGAAGGGCUAUAUACAUAAAUUUGAUUUUGAUUUGAUUUAUACCCACGUGGGUGAUUGAAAUACUAACUGUUUUGCCGGUCGUCGUGGUAAUACUAUGAAAGUUUAGAUGCCAAUCACCAUAUAAGUUCAAAGAUGAAAAAGCUGUGAAGGAAGAGAGAUGACUAGAAAUGAUUCGGUUGGCCAUUUAUGUGUGGAUUAAUUGUCGGAGUAGAGGACCUUGUGCAUUUCAGGUAAAAUAACAACUCAAUGUUUAUAUCCCAGGACAAAUUAGCUAGCAACAGCAAGCUAGCUAAAUUGGACAAAUUAGUUAUCAAGUGCAUGCUAAAUUGCCAUACAUGUUUAAUGUUUUUUGACCUGUCCCCAAAUUAAUUUAAUUGUUUCUGAGUUAAAUAUUAAAAAUAUUUUUAAAAUAUUUUAA